CGGUAGGUCUACUCUAGAACUUUCUCCAGUUGUCGGUAGGUCUACUCUAGAACUUUCUCCAGUUGUCGGUAGGUCUACUCUAGAACUUUCUCCAGUUGUCGGUAGGUCUACUCUAGAACUUUCUCCAGUUGUCGGUAGGUCUACUCUAGAACUUUCUCCAGUUGUCGGUAGGUCUACUCUAGAACUUUCUCCAGUUGUCGGUAGGUCUACUCUAGAACUUUCUCCAGCUGUCGGUAGGUCUGCUCUAGAACUUUCUCCAGCUGUCGGUAGGUCUGCUCUAGAACUUUCUCCAGGGGACGUUCUCCUUUCCUGCUUCUAGUCUUUAAGUUUAGCCUCACU